GAUGAACGCUGGCGGCGUGCCUAAUACAUGCAAGUCGAGCGAACGGACGAGAAGCUUGCUUCUCUGAUGUUAGCGGCGGACGGGUGAGUAACACGUGGAUAACCUACCUAUAAGACUGGGAUAACUUCGGGAAACCGGAGCUAAUACCGGAUAAUAUUUUGCACCGCAUGGUUCAAAAGUGAAAGACGGUCUUGCUGUCACUUAUAGAUGGAUCUGCGCUGCAUUAGCUAGUUGGUAAGGUAACGGCUUACCAAGGCAACGAUGCAUAGCCGACCUGAGAGACUGAUCGGCCACCCUAGAACGGAGACACGGUCCAGACUCCUACGGGAGGCAGCAGUAGGGAAUCUGCCGCAGUGGGCGAGAGCCUGACGGAGCAGCGCCGCGUGAGUGAUGGAGGCGUUCGGAGCGUAAAACUCUGUUAUUAGGGAAGAACAUAUGUGGAAGUAACUGUGCACAGCUUGACGGUACCGAAUCAGAAAGCCACGGCUAACUACGUG
rnacentral:rRNA from 1 species